CAGGUCCCACCCUGGCCCAGGAGGUCAGCCAGGGAAUCAUUAACAAGAGGCAGUGACAUGGCGCAGAAGGAGGGUGAGUCCCCUUCCCUGAGCCCCAGCUUUGGCUCUGCCUGGCGCCCCGCCCUCUGUGCUCUUUUCUCUACCCUCUACUCUUCAGAGCCCCCUCUCUCCGGGCACCCCUCCCAGAUGCAUCCCCACCCCCUGUUAGUCCUCCUCCACCUGAUUAACUAUUAACCACAUUUUCUGUGCAGCUGUGCCACCACCAGCCUCCCUUCUACCCUAUGUGACCUUCCUGGCGUGCUGCCUCAGUUUCCCCUCAUCCCCCAGUGAUUUCUCAGCUAACUCUGGACUUGUCCUCUACUGGGGCUGAGGCGGGAAGGCUGUAGCUGUCAUGGUUAAGGACACAGAUUUGGAGUCAAACACACAGGCUUGCAUUUGAAUUUGCUCUUGCCAUCUUUUUUGCUGUGUGAUCUUGUGCAAGCGACAUUAUUCUUAGGGCUUUGGUCUCCCUCUGGGUCAAGCAUGGAUCCCAGUCCUCCCUCUGUGAGGUUGUUGAGUGCAUGACACACACCAGGCACUGGCUGGGGCUCUGCAUAUAAGAUGCAUGCCAUCAAGCAGAGCUGUCAUGACAGAGGUUGGCAGACUCGGAGUCCCAGAGACCCAGGACCCCCACCGAUCCCAGACAUUCCUCCACCUCCUGGCUCUGUGGGCAAAAGAGCAGAGGGAGGACUUUGGACUGGGCCUGGAUGGAUGGAGAGGGGAGAGACGGCAGAGAAACCACCAUAAGGAUGACAGAGAGAGACUGCGUCAUGGAGUUGCUGGCCCUUGGGAGUCUCUGGGCAGCCCCCAGCUAGCCUGGCUUCCUUUCUACCUCUCACACAUGGGACCCAGCUGGAGGGGCGCAUGGAGGGGUGGCCUUUUCUUUCUGCCUUCCCCUAGCUGGGGCUGACUCCCUCUCUUCUUCCUGCAGGAUAGCCGGGCUCAGUCCUGGGCAGUAGCCUGAAAUGCCAGGGUGGGCAGGAAGCACUGAGCGUGUUGGCUGGUCCAGCUCCCUGGGGACAAUCUCUUUCCUGGAGCUGCUGGGGGGGACAGGCCUGAGAGCCCCUCGCAGGACAGGCAGGGGUCAGCCGGCAGUAGUUGGGCUGGUCUGGCCCACUGGGGCCUCUUUUGGGGAAGAGAGUGUUUCCUCAUGCCUUGAUGGGAGCCACUGAGCUUUCAAUUUUUUUUUUUUUUUUUUUAAAUACAGAGUCUCGCUCUGUUGCCCAGGCUAGAGUACAGUGGUGCAAUCUUGAUUCACUGCAACCUCCACCUCCUGGGUUCAAGCGAUUCUCCNNNNNNNNNNGAGCUCCUGACCUCAAGUGAUCCACCCGCCUCAGCCUCCCAAAGGGCCGGGAUUACAGGCAUGAGCCACCAUGCCCAGCCUGAGCUCUCAAAUUCUUAAGACACCCAGAUAAUGGCCACACCAGGAAGGUCCUAGACCACUCCCU
rnacentral:lncRNA from 1 species